rnacentral:rRNA from 1 species
CCUACGGGAGGCAGCAGUGAGGAAUAUUGGGCAAUGGAGGCAACUCUGACCCAGCCAUGCCGCGUGAGUGAAGAAGGUUUUCGGAUUGUAAAGCUCUUUCGGAUGUGACGAUGAUGACGGUAGCAUCUAAAGAAGCACCGGCUAACUUCGUGCCAGCAGCCGCGGUAAUACGAAGGGGGAAGGCGUUGUUAGGAAUGACUGGGCGUAAAGGGAGGGUAGGCGGUUUAGUAGGAUAUUGUUGAAAUCCCGGGGCUUAACCUUGGAAUUGCCAUUAUAAAUAUUAGACUAGAAUUACAGAGAGGAUAGUGGAAUACCCAGUGUAGAGGUUAAAUUCGUAGAUAUUGGGUAGAACACCAGUGGCGAAGGCGACUAUCUGGCUGUACAUUGACGCUGAGGCUCGAAAGCAUGGGGAUCAAACAGGAGUAGAUACCCCUGUAGUC